rnacentral:rRNA from 1 species
GACGUAGGGGGCGAGUGUUGUCCGGAAUUAUUGGGCGUAAAGAGCUCGUAGGCGGCCGGUUGCGUCUGCUGUGAAAUCCCGGGGCUUAACCCCGGGCGUGCAGUGGAUACGGGCCGGCUGGAGGCAGGCAGGGGAGAAUGGAAUUCCCGGUGUAGCGGUGAAAUGCGCAGAUAUCGGGAGGAACACCUGUGGCGAAAGCGGCGCACUGGACCACAACUGACGCUGAGGCGCGAAAGCUAGGGGAGCAAACAGG